UACGAGAGGCCCAAAGCGUUAUUCGGAAUUACUGGGCUUAAAGAGUUCGUAGGCGGUAUGACAAGUAGGGUGUGAAAGCCCUCGGCUUAACCGAGGAAUUGCGCUCUAAACUGUCGUACUCGAGGAACCUAGAGGUGAGCAGAACAGAUGGUGGAGCGGUGAAAUGCGUUGAUAUCAUCUGGAAUACCGGAGGCGAAGGGCGGCUCACUGGGGGUUUUCUGGACGCUG
rnacentral:rRNA from 1 species